rnacentral:lncRNA from 1 species
UUUUUUUAAAGGACACAGAGACACGAAGAACAGGAAACAACCUCACAGGCACUGACGUCCACAUCUGGAGAGGCUGAGCUGCCAGCAAAAACUCUUUGUCUACGAACGGUACACCUAUAGAGACAAGACUACCUGUGGCCAGAAGGCUGUGAAUCCUGAGCUACUAUCAGAAGAUAUUUUGUCUACCCUGAGUUCAGGAUGAAGUCAUCCACAUGUGGUAUCCACAUGGACAUAAGGCAGAGCUUCUCGGAGAAUCUCUCAGGAGAGCAUCAUCAGGACACUUUGACCAGGCAAGAAGUCUACUCUAGGCUUCAAGGGGCUGAGAGAGUCACUGCAGUAUAUAAAGGACAGUCAAGAUCUGGGAGCCGGGUAACACUCAGCCUAGUGUCUCGGGCCCAAGGCUUGUGAUGUCUUUUUCUUUACAUGUUCUUCUCAGUGGUUUACUCUGGGCUUCUCAACAUCGAUGGCCAUGGGACCAAGGCCAUGUUAGUUAGUUCUCAGCUCUGUUAGCCUUGCCACCCUCUCAGAUUCCAAUCCCCUUAGGAAACUUUUCUCUUUCUCAGGGGCCCAGAUGCAGCCCAGCCUAGGAUUGCCUGUACCUCACCCUCUUUGCUAAACCUUUUGCCUUCCCACCCAGAGCUCUGAGGAUUCCAUCCCAGCAAAGAACAGUCAGGGAAAGACAGGAUUCUCAAAGGAGUAGCUCAGAAGGGCACACUCCUAACAAGGGCAUUGUGGUGCUCCCGAGAGCUCUCUGGAGAAGAGGGUCUUCAUACUCAGCUCAGAAGACGUUCUCCCUUCCAGUGACCAAGUCAGCCAUCGCCGUCUUCCCUGGCUCACCACCCAUCACUGAUUCACUGGAAAAUGUGAGAAAUUACUUAAUAAAGAACUGCCCUGGGGAAAUGGACAGGUAAUAGGCUUUAAAGAAAUAAUUUAAUCUCAUGCUUCGUUUAGUAAGAACUAUGUCCACAGUCCUGCCACCAGCAAGAAAAAUAAACAGCAGAUAAGCAGGGAUGGGGAUGAACAGGCUGCCAGAGGAGCUUUCUGGUUAAGUGACGUUUUCCUCUCUGUGUAUAAGUGGAGCCAUGCCGAGGAAAGCCAUGCCCUCUACAGUGAGGCAGGCCCUGGGACUCAGACCAGCCUGAUGGCAAUCAUAGAACUAGUGUGAGCCAUGUGACUUUGGGAAAAUGAUUUCAUGCUUCGGUAUUCCACGCAAGGAAAGGAGGUGACAAUGUACAUUUAACUUUUUCCAUGUGUGUACGCGUAUGUGUGUGCAUGUGUGUACAUGUGUGUACAUGUAUGUAUGUUCCAAGGGUCAGGCAUUAUACUAAAUGUGGUAGACAAGACUGAGCAUUAUUUAGGAACUCUGCAGGCUACAGGGACAGAGCAAGAAGAAGGAAUGGCAGGGGAGGGGCCAGUUGAGAACAAGUCUGGAAAACAUUUUUUGGUAAGGCGUGCAACUGGCAAUGGAUGGCGUGGCUCAGAAUUCCUGGAUGGGUGGAUUCCUGUCCUGCUGAUAACUUCUGUCUCCUUUCAGCCUCCUAGAACAAGAGCCAAACAUAAAUCAAAGUUGCACUAAAUGGAGGCCUUAGGCAAAAGGUGGGCUGCAGUAUGAUACAGACUCUAAGCUUAAUAAGGCUUCCUGCCUGUCCCUAUGUCUACUCCAAGGUUUAUGAACCCACCAGCUUCAGGCUGGAACUAUGUGAAAGAAACUCAGACAGAUAGAAAAGGCCACAGAAGCAAGUCUGCAGAGUAAGAUGGGCAGCUAGGUGACAGGAGACACAUGACAACACCCUGCCCACUUCCCUAGGAGGCCAGAUCCUACAUCACCAUUAGCCAAUAUUUCAGUUGCUGCUUCUUUAGGAACUUCCCCAUAGGAUGGGCCAAAGAUCACCCUGCACAGUCCUCUCCCCUAACGGAGCAAGGGGAAGAGUCUGGAAACUUCCUGGGGAGGUUGAAGGCUGGUGAGACAGGGGAAUUACAAGGUGUGGUUUGUAUCUUUCUAGCCUUUUUCUCCCAAGACUGACCAGGGUGACCAUGAAGAACACAAGCCUGAACCUGCCCCAGGCCAGCUGAUAGGGUGACUGACUUACCUGGGAUACAAUGAGUACCUGCUGCAACUAAGCCACUCCAGCUCCCAGCCCUGAUCGCUUCAGCACCAUUUUCUUGGAUUAAAUGGAGUUUGACCUCAUAGUCACUGUGUAUCAGAGGUGAGGUUAGACCAGUGCAGGUAAAAUGGGAACCGGCCAGCUGCCUUGCGUUCCUCCAUCUCCUCCCAGCUUCGAAGGCUGAGGCAUUUCCUUCUCAGGUGAAAGUCCCUCUCCCUCUCCCCCUCUCCCUCCCCCUCCCACUCCC